GAAUUAUUGAUCCUAAAAUCUUAUCGUCGUUGUUUGUUUGUUUGUUUGUUUCUACAUACAUACAUAUAUACUCCCACACUCGGUCAUACACAGAUGGAAAAAACAACAACAACAACAACCUUGGACAAUGGUGAAAAAACAACAACAACAACAACGACGACGACAACGAAAUGGAAAAAAAAUCUGGACCAUAUAGAUUUGUGACCUAGAAAAAUCAAAAUGAAAACAAUCAACAAAAAAAAACCCAAUGUGCCAAUUUUUUUUCGAAGGUGGUGGUAGGGGGAGAUGAGAAAAAUCCCAAAUAUGAAGAUUGAUCGAUUCUUUUUCGGAUUUUGGUCAAAUUUCUGAAACAAAAUCCAAAAUGGGUUAAUUCAAGAACAGCAACGAAAAAAUUGCUCAAAGUAAUUUGAUAUUUACAACAGCAAUGAAACCAGCACUACCACCGCCAAAUGCAGAAUCAUCCAUCAAAUGUAAUGAUAAAAAACAAAAAUUCAAUCAUUCAUUUUUUCACUUUCAAUUUUCCAUCUACGUUACGUGUUCAUGUUUUUUCAAAAAAAAAAAAAAAAAAAACAAAAUCAAAACGGAUGUAUGUUGCACACCCAAUGAUGAUGAUUAUCAUCACCCAAAAUAGUCAUGUUACACUCUCAAACACACACACACAAACUUUGUAUUUUAUCGGCUUUGUAUUAUAUAACACCAAAUGUUAUGUUUUUUUUUUUUUUUACAAUAACAACCAGAAAAAAACGAUUAUUAUAGGCCUAGGACCCUGGUAUAUGUGUGUGUGUGUGUGUGUGUGUGUUGGACUAGGAGGGCCAGACUAUUUCUGUAUCUAUGAUGAUGAUUCAUAUGAUGUGAUUAUUAUGAUGUAACACAUGUGUGUAUUGUGACCACAAACACAUGAAAUUUUUUUUUUUUCAAAAAAAAAUUUUUUUUCAUCUUUUUCAAUCACACAAAAUUCGGGUGUGGAUCAUCAUCAUCAUUAUGGUGACCUUUGUACCGAGGUUGUAUAUCAUUAUUAUUAUUAUUAAGUAGUAGAGAAAUGAAGCCACAACAUUUGAAAUUUUUUUUUUUUUUGCCCCAAACCAAAUAUGAAACAAGUGGUAGCCCUACCUGUGUGCGUGUGUGUGUGUGUGUUUGUCAAUCUUUAAACACGAAACACUCACACACACACACACACACCUUAAAGAAAAAUGGCUCGAAGAAAAAUGAAAACCUGUUCUAUGUGUACGAUAGAACCACUACCAUUUAUUUAUUCGUUGAUGAUUUUGUUGUUGUUGUUGUUGUUGUCCGUUAACGAGAAUUUGUUUCAUCUUUAAAUUAUUUUCAUGGUUUUGUUUUUUUUCUGGUUGAUUGUCGUUACUUGUUAUAUGUCGUCGUGGUAUUUUCGUUUGAAAAGUCAUCAAAUUCAUCAAUAAAAAUUGAAAUUUAAAAACUGGAUAUUGUGUGUGUGUGUGUGUGUGUCCAUGGGAAAAACUAAAAAUGCCAUCCGCUAAAAUGACAUGGAUUAUCGUUUAAAUUUCCCGUUUGUGCAGGUGUGUGCAGGUGUAGGUGUAGGUGUAAGUGUGAUAUCUUCGAAAUCAUCUGAAAUGAAAUGAAAAUUUGCUCAUUUAUCCAAUUUAAACAAAUCAAAAACUGAUGGUGAUGGUGAGUCAUUCUCAUCGCUAAUUGAUCGGCAUCUUUCAAGGUUCAUUCGCCUUGUGUAAUCAUCAUCAUAUCCUGACUAUUAUUGUCAAUUUGGAUUCAUUCGACCAGAUCCAUAUUUUUUAGUCUGUAUUUGUUUGUGUGUGUGUGUGUGUGUGGUAUUUAAUAUUGAAAAAAAGGUAACAAAUGAAAACGAGAAAAUUUCCGAUACCAUAACAACCAACAACAAACAAUUCAAUGGUUAUUAUACUGGAUCAAACAAAACACAAUCAUUAAUUUUGUCAUUGCUCACUCAUCCUAUUGUCAUCGUUUGUUUAUUUAUUUGUGUGUUUCAAAUUGUCAAUCGAAUGUAUCGCCAAACUAUUGUUAUUUGCCAAAACAAAACAAAACAAAACACCACCUGGCCACCACCAUCUAAAUUGUCAAUAAUUUAUGCCAAAACAACAAACCGAAACAAUUUAUCAGUUGAUAUAUAUUGAUUGAUGCUGCCAGAUCAAAUUUGUUCUGUUGUGUAUUGUGACAAAAAAGAAUUUUCAUCAUCAUCAUCAUUUCAUUUACAUUUCAAAAAAAA